CCUUGGUGUCCUAAAACAUUCCCUGGCAUCAGCCUGAACUUCUGUGUGCAACACCACUACAGAGGGAGGAACAAGUGGGAUUUCAAGGAAAUAAGCCAGGAAGCUUGCUUUCUUCACUUCCAAGCUUGAUCACAUGGACUGCCUGGGCUGCUGGAGAGUCAGCUAAAUGGAGAUGCUAUAAUUAGGCUCUGAACCUGAUUGCUGUCAAGGUCAAUGACCAAACAAUGCGGUUAGCUAAACUUUGGCCUCUUUAUUCUACUGAAGUUUCAUGUCAAACUCGGAACUGCCCUGGAAACCACAAAAUAGGUAAUGCUGGAGUCAGGCCUAACCUGAGAGAGCAGAGGAGAAGGAAGAGGAAGAGAAGAAUAAAGAGGGAAAGGAGGAAGAGGAGGAAGAGGAAGAUGAGGAGCUGAAGGAGGAAGAAGAGAGAGAAACUGGCACAAAUACAGCACCUUCAGAUGACUUUCUGGGGAAGGCACAAAGGAAGAAAAUAUUCAGAUAUGAAAGUGAUUCAAAGCCAAAAGAUAAUGAUUAUUUCUUCAAUUAGAAAAUACUGGUGACAGGAGAUAAAAGGGAAGAUUUUUGAGGUAUAUUAUUCAAUGUAAUUUUGUAUAAAAGUUAUAGAGGAAGAUCCUUGGAGAAGAACGUAUUCUAAUUCUGAAAAUUGUAAAGGUUAAAAUUAUGGUUGAGAUUGAAUGUGAUAAUUAUUUUGGUUGCCAAGGAUCUUAUUUAUAAAAUCCUAAAUGAAACA
rnacentral:lncRNA from 1 species